GAUGAACGCUGGCGGCGUGCUUAACACAUGCAAGUCGAACGGUGAAGCCAAGCUUGCUUGGUGGAUCAGUGGCGAACGGGUGAGUAACACGUGAGCAACCUGCCCUGGACUCUGGGAUAAGCGCUGGAAACGGUGUCUAAUACUGGAUAUGGGCUCCUUCCGCAUGGUGGGGGUUGGAAAGAUUUUUCGGUCUGGGAUGGGCUCGCGGCCUAUCAGCUUGUUGGUGAGGUAAUGGCUCACCAAGGCGUCGACGGGUAGCCGGCCUGAGGGGGUGACCGGCCACACUGGGACUGAGACACGGCCCAGACUCCUACGGGAGGCAGCAGUGGGGAAUAUUGCACAAUGGGCGGAAGCCUGAUGCAGCAACGCCGCGUGAGGGAUGACGGCCUUCGGGUUGUAAACCUCUUUUAGCAGGGAAGAAGCUUUUGUGACGGUACCUGCAGAAAAAGCGCCGGCUAACUACGUGCCAGCCGCCGCCGUAA
rnacentral:rRNA from 1 species